rnacentral:rRNA from 1 species
UACGGAGGGUGCAAGCGUUAUCCGGAUUCACUGGGUUUAAAGGGUGCGUAGGUGGAUAGGUAAGUCCGUGGUGAAAUCCUGCAGCUUAACUGCAGAACUGCCAUGGAUACUAUUUAUCUUGAAUACUGUGGAGGUCAGCGGAAUAUGUCAUGUAGCGGUGAAAUGCUUAGAUAUGACAUAGAACACCAAUUGCGAAGGCAGCUGGCUACACAAAUAUUGACACUGAUGCACGAAAGCGUGGGGAUCAAACAGG